rnacentral:rRNA from 1 species
GACGAACGCUGGCGGCGUGCUUAACACAUGCAAGUCGAACGGAAAGGCCCAGCUUGCUGGGUACUCGAGUGGCGAACGGGUGAGUAACACGUGGGUGAUCUGCCCUGCACUCUGGGAUAAGCCUGGGAAACUGGGUCUAAUACCGGAUAUGACCAACUGUCGCAUGGUGGUUGGUGGAAAGCUUUUGCGGUGUGGGAUGGGCCCGCGGCCUAUCAGCUUGUUGGUGGGGUAAUGGCCUACCAAGGCGACGACGGGUAGCCGACCUGAGAGGGGGAUCGGCCACACUGGGACUGAGACACGGCCCAGACUCCUACGGGAGGCAGCAGUGGGGAAUAUUGCACAAUGGGCGCAAGCCUGAUGCAGCGACGCCGCGUGAGGGAUGACGGCCUUCGGGUUGUAAACCUCUUUCACCAGGGACGAAGCGUGAGUGACGGUACCUGGAGAAGAAGCACCGGCCAACUACGUG